AAGUCGUAACAAGGUUUCCGUAGGUGAACCUGCGGAAGGAUCAUUAUCGAGUUACUAUUGACUUUGAUGCUGGCCGCUCGCGGCAUGUGCUCGAGUCUUUAAAUCCACUCAACCACUGUGCACUAAUUCGAAGCUUUGCGGUUCAGGCUCCCUUCGGGUUGAGUUCGGGCUUGCGGGGUUUUCGAGCUUCAUACAAACCACUAUAUUGUCAUGUCGAAUGUAAUACUUUAAUAAAAUACAACUUUCAACAACGGAUCUCUUGGCUCUC
rnacentral:misc_RNA from 1 species